rnacentral:rRNA from 1 species
GAUGAACGCUGGCGGCGUGCCUAAUACAUGCAAGUCGAGCGAACAGACGAGGAGCUUGCUCCUCUGACGUUAGCGGCGGACGGGUGAGUAACACGUGGAUAACCUACCUAUAAGACUGGGAUAACUUCGGGAAACCGGAGCUAAUACCGGAUAAUAUAUUGAACCGCAUGGUUCAAUAGUGAAAGACGGUUUUGCUGUCACUUAUAGAUGGAUCCGCGCCGCAUUAGCUAGUUGGUAAGGUAACGGCUUACCAAGGCAACGAUGCGUACCCGACCUGAGAGGGUGAUCGGCCACACUGGAACUGAGACACGGUCCAGACUCCUACGGGAGGCAGCAGUAGGGAAUCUUCCGCAAUGGGCGAAAGCCUGACGGAGCAACGCCGCGUGAGUGAUGAAGGUCUUCGGAUCGUAAAACUCUGUUAUUAGGGAAGAACAAAUGUGUAAGUAACUAUGCACGUCUUGACGGUACCUAAUCAGAAAGCCACGGCUAACUACGUG